GAUGAACGCUGGCGGCAGGCUUAACACAUGCAAGUCGAGCGAGCGGCGGACGGGUGAGUAAUGUCUGGGAAACUGCCUGAUGGAGGGGGAUAACUACUGGAAACGGUAGCUAAUACCGCAUACCAUCAGAUGUGCCCAGAUGGGAUUAGCUAGCAGGUGGGGAAAUGGCUAACCUAGGCGACGAUCGCUAGCUGGUCUGAGAGGAUGACCAGCAACACGGGAACUGGGACACGGUCCAACCUCCUACGGGAGGAGGCAGUGGGGAAUAUUGCACAGUGGGCGAAAGCCUGAUGCAGCCCUGCCGCGGGUGUGAAUAAGGCCUUCGGGUUGUAAAGCACUUUCAGCGAGGAGGCGUUACUCGCAGAAGAAGCACCGGCUAACUCCGUGCCAGCAGCCGCGGUAAUAC
rnacentral:rRNA from 1 species